rnacentral:lncRNA from 1 species
AUGCAAAUCUACACCAGCCAGCCUAGCCUCCCGCGCCUUCUACGAGCUCACUACUGGUUACCUAAAAACAACAACGAGUGAGGAGUGAGUAAUCUAGCAUUACUCAGUGAGUUACAAUCCCCAACUAACAAAUACAACCCCUCGCUAUCCCACCCCAAACAAUCUAAAGCGAGAGGUUCACCUAACAACACAAUUCAAUAACAAUAAGCAAUAUCUGAAAUACGCAGCGGUAAACGAUAGCAAGAUAACUAGCAUU